AGCGAACGCUGGCGGCAGGCUUAACACAUGCAAGUCGAGCGGGCACUUCGGUGUCAGCGGCAGACGGGUGAGUAACACGUGGGAACGUACCCUUCGGUUCGGAAUAACGCUGGGAAACUAGCGCUAAUACCGGAUACGCCCUUGUGGGGAAAGGUUUACUGCCGAAGGAUCGGCCCGCGUCUGAUUAGCUAGUUGGUGGGGUAAUGGCCUACCAAGGCGACGAUCAGUAGCUGGUCUGAGAGGAUGAUCAGCCACACUGGGACUGAGACACGGCCCAGACUCCUCCGGGAGGCAGCAGUGGGGAAUAUUCGACACUGGGCGCAAGCCUGAGCCAGCCAUGCCGCGUGAGUGAUGAAGGCCUUAGGGUUGUAAAUCUCUUUUGUCCGGGACGAUAAUGACGGUACCGGACGAAUAAGCCCCGGCUAACUUCGUG
rnacentral:rRNA from 1 species